rnacentral:rRNA from 1 species
UAAAUUUAAUAUUUUAAUAUGAUAUAUUUUAUUAUUCAUGUAUAAUAGAAAUAACUUCUAUCUUAGUAUAUUUUAUAGAAUAGAUAAUUUUUAUUUAUAGUUUAGUUGUUCUGUAAGGAAUAAUAUUUUAAAUUUUUAUAAGUAUAGUUUGUUUCUUGUACCUUUUGUAUCAGGGUUUACUUAUUUUUAGUAAUUAUUAUUACUUUUCCCGAAAUUAAAAGGGAUACUCCGGGUUGUUAGUUAUUGUGAUAUAAUUAUUAAUAAGGCUGGAGUAGGGAUUAUAUGUUAUUCAAUUUUAAAUAUCUGGUUUCUAAAUAAAUGAAUUUAAUUCAGGAUUUAUUUUGGUAUUAUACACUUUAAUUUUUGUUAUACUUAAAAAUUUAAAUCUAAAAUUUAAGGGGAUUAGCUCUUAAGUUGUUUUAUAACUAUCUGCUUAUAUUUAAAAUUAUAGUAGGUUUAGAAAUGGCCAUCAUUUAUUUCGUUAUAGUUAAUAUUUAAAUAGUUGUUUAUUUAUUUUAUAGUUUAAAUUGAUAUUUAGAUUUUUUGUUUAAUUUAAAAACUUUAGGUUUAAUGGUAAAAUUAGUAUAAUUUGGUAAAUUGAAUUUAUAGUAACUCGGCAAAUUUAGUGUUCACCUGUUUAACAAAAACAUGGCCUAUUGUAAAUUUAUAUUAGGUCGAGCCUGCUCAAUGAUUUAAAAUUAAUAAUAACGAUUAAAUAGCCGCAGUACUUUGACUGUGCGAAGGUAGCAUAAUCAUUUGUCUUUUAAUUGUAGGCUUGUAUGAAUGGUUUGAUGAAAUACUAACUUUCUUUAGUAUCAUACAUUAAAAUUUAAUGUUUUAGUUAAAAGGCUAAAAUUUUUUCAUAGGACGAGAAGACCCUAUAGAAUUUUAUUAUAAAAUAUAUUGUUUAUUUUUGGAAAUGUUAUUUGUGAAUAAUAUGUUUUAUAAUUGUGUUGGGGUGACAGGGAAAUUUUAUUAACUUUCUUUAUAUAUUUUAUUAUUAAUUAGUAUUUUAAUGAUCCUAUUAUAUGGAUAUUAAGAUUAAAUUACCUUAGGGAUAACAGCGUAAUUCUGUUGGAGAGUUCUUAUCGAUAACAGGGUUUGCGACCUCGAUGUUGGAUUAAAAUUUGUGUUAAGUGCAGUAGCUUAAUAACUAGGUCUGUUCGACCUUUAAUAUUUUACAUGAUCUGAGUUCAGACCGGCGUAAGCCAGGUUGGUUUCUAUCCUUGAUCUAUAUUUAAUUUGUUUUAGUACGAAAGGACCAAAUAAAUUAUAAAUUAUAUUAAAUUUUUGAUUUUCAUUAAAUUU